rnacentral:rRNA from 1 species
UACGUAGGAUGCAAGCGUUUGUUCGGAAUUACUGGGCGUAAAGAGUACGUAGGCGGUUUGAUAAGUCUGGUAUUAAAGACUGAGGCUUAACCUCAGGAAUGUAUUGGAAACUGUCAGACUAGAGGACAGUAGAGGAAGUCGGAAUUCUCAGUGUAGCGGUGAAAUGCGUAGAUAUUGGGGAAGACACCAGUGGCGAAAGCGGACUUCUGGGCUGUUACUGACGCUG